CCUACGGGAGGCAGCAGUGAGGAAUAUUGGUCAAUGGGCGCGAGCCUGAACCAGCCAAGCCGCGUGAGGGAAGACGGUACUAAGGAUUGUAAACCUCUUUUGUCAGGGAGCAAAAGCCGCCACGCGUGGCCUUCCGAGAGUACCCGAAGAAAAAGCAUCGGCUAACUCCGUGCCAGCAGCCGCGGUAAUACGGAGGAUGCGAGCGUUAUCCGGAUUUAUUGGGUUUAAAGGGUGCGCAGGCGGUAGAUGAAGUCAGCGGUAAAAGUGCGGGGCUCAACCCCGUCGAGCCGUUGAAACUGGUAGUCUUGAGUGAGAGAGAAGUAUGCGGAAUGCGUGGUGUAGCGGUGAAAUGCAUAGAUAUCACGCAGAACUCCGAUUGCGAAGGCAGCAUACCGGCGCUCAACUGACGCUCAGGCACGAAAGUGUGGGUAUCGAACAGGAUUAGAUACCCCAGUAGUC
rnacentral:rRNA from 1 species